CCCGAUCCCACCGCCACUCACCGCCACGCGCCGCCACACGCCGCAGCAUGCCCGCCGCCGCCGCGCUGUUCGCGCUCGCGCUCGCGGCGCUCACGUGCGCCAGCGCAGAAAAAUCCCCAUUCAAUCAGCCAGCCAUCAGAACGUCGCUCCACAGGCGCAGCAUCCAGAGUACAGACGCGGAGGUGCGCGGCUGCAUGUACUCGGGGCGGUGGUUCGCGG